rnacentral:rRNA from 1 species
UACGGAGGAUCCGAGCGUUAUCCGGAUUUAUUGGGUUUAAAGGGUGCGUAGGCGGCCUGUUAAGUCAGGGGUGAAAGACGGUAGCUCAACUAUCGCAGUGCCCUUGAUACUGAUGGGCUUGAAUGGACUAGAGGUAGGCGGAAUGUGACAAGUAGCGGUGAAAUGCAUAGAUAUGUCACAGAACACCGAUUGCGAAGGCAGCUUACUAUGGUCCUAUUGACGCUGAGGCACGAAAGCGUGGGGAUCAAACAGG